rnacentral:lncRNA from 1 species
GAGGCUGGAACCAAGAGAAAAAAAAGAAAUUUUCGUCCCUGUACUUCUCACCCACGAGCAGCAGAGAUUGAUGAGGUCCUCACUUUGGAGCCAUUUCUGAGUGGUUCAACGUGGUGGCAGUGAUCCAGAGCAGCAGCUCUAGAAGUGGUAAUGAUGACCAUGCGUUUCUCUACAGGGACACGGUGCUGUACAAAUCCAAUUACUAUUAGCAUCACACGUCUGAGGACAAAUUAAGUGAAGUGGUGCCAGAUUCAAUUGUAUUUGUGUU